UCAAACAAUGUGAGAUUAUUUUGGUCAUUAAAAAAAAUAACAAAAACAAAAAUCCAGCUACUACAAACCACUAUAAUUUUAGUUUUAUAAAUGAUAAUAUAAAUUUAUUCUUUAUUUUAAUUUUUAAUUUGAUUUUAUAAUUUUUUAAAGUCAAGUAUGUCUUAUUUUAACUUUAAUAUUUUAAUGUGUCCUUAAUUUUAUUUUGUUUGAAUAGGACGAAUUUAGUAUAUCUCUUAUAAAAGUAAAGACCAUUUAAA
rnacentral:lncRNA from 1 species